rnacentral:rRNA from 1 species
GAUGAACGCUGACAGAAUGCUUAACACAUGCAAGUCAACUGUGGCGGACGGGUGAGUAACGCGUCAAGAACUUGCCUCACAGAUAGGGACAACAUUUGGAAACGAAUGCUAAUACCUGAUACUGUGAGAGAGCUUUUCGUCCCAUUAGCUAGUUGGAGAGGUAACGGCUCACCAAGGCGAUGAUGGGUAGCCGUCCUGAGAGGGUGAUCGGCCACAAGGGGACUGAGACACGGCCCUUACUCCUACGGGAGGCAGCAGUGGUGAAUAUUUGACAAUGGACCAAAGUCUGAUCCAGCCAUUCGGUGUGCACGAUGAAGUUUUCGGAAUGUAAAGUGCUUUCAGUUGGGAAGCGGUACCAACAGAAGAAGUGACGGCUAAAUACGUGCCAGCAGCCGCGGUAAUUC